AAGUCGUAACAAGGUUUCCGUAGGUGAACCUGCGGAAGGAUCAUUAGUUAAAACCCCCCCCGUGAACCUUCACAGAGCGCGUCAGCAAUCCUGGUAAAUCAGUGGCGAAAGUAGUCUUUGAUUCAGGACCUCUGAAGUUGUAAGCAGGCAGUUUGAGCCUUCUAUCGCCAGUCUGGAGUCCUGGCCGGGCGGAUGAAAGUGUCGCUAGACGGUUUCUAGGGUAAGGCUUCUCCAUCGCCGGUGUAUCACACGCCGAAGCGGACAGACUGCAGGGUGUAGUGCCCCUUUACGACGACCAAGUUAAAUUAGGCCUCUACCACAUAGCAAGUGCGCCGUGGUAGAGGAAAACGUACAACUGUUAACAAUGGAUAUCUUGGUUCUC
rnacentral:misc_RNA from 1 species